rnacentral:rRNA from 1 species
GACGAACGCUGGCGGCGUGCCUAAUACAUGCAAGUCGACCUUAGUGGCGAACGGGUGAGUAACACGUGGGUAACCUGCCCAUCAGAGGGGGAUAACACUUGGAAACAGGUGCUAAUACCGUAUACUGAUGGAUGGACCCGCGGUGCAUUAGCUAGUUGGUGAGGUAACGGCUCAGCAAGGCCACGAUGCAUAGCCCACCGGAGAGGGGGAGCGGCAUCAGUGGAACUGAGCCACGGCCCAAACUCCUACGCGAGGCAUCAGUAUGAAAUCUUCGGAAAAGGACGAAAGUCUGACCGAGCAACGCCGCGUGAGUGAAGAAGGUUUUCGGAUCGUAAAACUCUGUUGUUAGAGAAGCGGUAUCUAACCAGAAAGCCACGGCUAACUACGUGCCAGCCGCCGCGGUAAUUC